AGUGAACGCUGGCGGUAGGCCUAACACAUGCAAGUCGAACGGCAGCACAGGAGAGCUUGCUCUCUGGGUGGCGAGUGGCGGACGGGUGAGGAAUACAUCGGAAUCUACUCUGUCGUGGGGGAUAACGUAGGGAAACUUACGCUAAUACCGCAUACGACCUACGGGUGAAAGCAGGGGAUCUUCGGACCUUGCGCAAUUGAAUGAGCCGAUGUCGGAUUAGUUAGUUGGCGGGGUAAAGGCCCACCAAGGCGACGAUCCGUAGCUGGUCUGAGAGGAUGAUCAGCCACACUGGAACUGAGACACGGUCCAGACUCCUACGGGAGGCAGCAGUGGGGAAUAUUGGACGAUGGGCGCAAGCCUGAUCCAGCCAUACCGCGUGGGUGAAGAAGGCCUUCGGGUUGUAAAGCCCUUUUGUUGGGAAAGAAAUCCAGCUGGCUAAUACCCGGUUGGGAUGACGGUACCCAAAGAAUAAGCACCGGCUAACUUCGUGCCAGCCGCCGCGGUAA
rnacentral:rRNA from 1 species